AAGAGGAUAAAAGAGCUUUUGUAGAGGAGACAGAAGGUAGCCUCCAGCCACCAAUGCGACAUCACUGAAUGCAGAAUUGGGAAGAGGUGUAUACAAUUGACUCUCACAAGCCCCACAAGCUGGCUCCAGCACAUCACUGAGAUCACCGCAAACCCACCAUGAAGGCUAAAAUGAAAAAGAUUGAACAUAUCAAGUUUUGACAAAAAUAUAGAGCAAGGAGAAUGCUAACACACGGCUAGUGGGAGUGUAAUCAGUUUAAUCACAUUGGAACGCUGUUUGGCAGUAUCUACUAAGGCUAUGAUCCUAUGUCUGAUCCUAUGAUCCUGGAGGCUCCAUAGAAAUGAAUGCAUAUGUGAUGGUUUUUUUAUGUGUCAACUUGACUGGGCCACGAGGUACCCAGACAUUUGUCCAAACAUUAUUCUGGGUGUGUCUGUGAGGGGAUAUCUGGACAAGAUUAACAUUAGAAUUGGUAGAUUGAAUAAAACAGAUUGCCCUCCAUGGUGUGGGUGUUCCUCAUCGAAUCAUUUGAAGACCUGAAUAGAACAAAAAGACUGAAUGAGAGGGAACUCCUUCUGCCUGACUGUCUUGAGCAGGAACAUCAGUUCUCUCUUACCUUUGGAUUCAAACUGAAACAUCAGCUCUCUCUGGGUCUUGAGCCUGCAGGCAUUCAGACUGAAACUACACCAUCAUCUCUCCUGGGUCUCCGGCUUGCUGACUACAGGUCUUGGGAUUUGUCAGCCUCCAUACCCACAUGAUUCAAUUCCUUAUUUCAUAUAUAUAUAUAUAUAUAUAUAUAUAUAUAUAUACACAUAUAUAUAUUUUUUUUAAGUACUGAUUUUUAAAAAUAUAGAUGAUAGAUAGAUAGAUAGAUAGAUAGAUAGAUAGAUAGAUAGAUAGUUAGACAGACAGACAGAUAGAUAGAUCCUAUUGGUUCUAUCUCUCUGGAGAACCCUGACUAAUACCACCAGGUAGCCACCAAAAAACAUGCACAUGAAUGUUUAUAGCAGCUUUAUUUGUAAUAGUCAACAAACUGGAAGCAAUCCAAAUGCCCAUCAACAGUGCUACACAGUGCUAGAUUUCUACCAUGGAAUACUAUAUAGCAAUAAAGAAAACAAACUACAGAUACACACAGCAACAUGGAUGAAUCUCACAGACAAAAACAUUGAAAGAAAAGGGCCAGACACAAAAGACUAUAUAUAUAUAUACACAAAAGACUAUAUAUAUAUAUACACAAAAGACUAUAUAUAUAUAUAUAUAUAUAUACACACAAACUUUUAGAAUAGAUGAAAUUGUUUUAUUAUGAGAUAAGUUAGAAUAGCAAUUACCUUGAGGAGAUUGAUAUAAACUAGGAGUACACAUGAGGGAAUGUUCUCCAUAUUGGAAAUAUUCUGCAUUUUGAUAUCGAUAGUAGUUACAAAAGUGUAAAAUUUCACCCAGCUACACACUUAAGAUUUGUACUCCUUUACUGCUUAUACUAUAUAUACCAAUAUAUUUGGUUGGGUUUUUUGUAUUUUGGGGAUUUUUUUUGGAGACAAGGUCUUGCUCUGUUGCCCAUGCUGGAGUGCAGUGGCGCAAUCAUAUCAUAGCUCACUGAAGCCUUGAACUCCUGGACUCAAGUGAUCCUCCCACCUCAGCCUUCAAAGUAGCUGGGACUAUAGGCAUGUGCCACCAUACCUGGCUAGUUUUUUGUUGUUGUUGUUUGUUUGGUUGGUUGGUUGUUGUUGAGACAGGAUCUUUUUGGUGUUACCCAGGCUGGUCUCAAAUUCCUGGGCUCAGGUGAUCGUCCCACCUUCGCCUCCCAAAGUGCCAGGAUUUACAGGCAUGAACCAUUGCGCCCAGCCCUCCAAUAUAAUUUUUUACAUAAAAAUAAGUUUUAAAAACUACCAGGUAUUUCUGAUGAUCAGCCUAGUACAGGAAACAUUCGACUUGGGAAUCUGUAAGUUCUCUUAAAGCUAACAUUCUGUGAAGAUGAGAUGAAACAGAAAUAAUGGCGCCAGAGCAAAGGCAAGAAGAAGAACCAGAGAGUAGACACAGAGCUAAAUAGGAAAGAAAGGGAGACCUACAGAAAAUACAUUAACUCGCCAACAUUUGUUUAGCACCUGCUAUGGGCAAGGCACAAUGCUCGAUAGCCAGAAGGUCAAAAAUGAGCAAAGAGAAGCCCCUACCUGCAAGGAGCUUGCCUUCUUGUAGGGGACAUAAUUCUACAUUACAAAGUACAGUGCAGUAAUUGCUGAAAACCAGAGGCACCAACAGAAAGCUCCACAAGUGGAAAAUGGCAUUCAGUUGGGCAUGGGGAUGAUCUGGAAAGAAUCCACAGUGGAGCAGGUACUUGAACAGAGCCUUGAAGGAUAGGUAGAAUUCUGCUGGAGAGAGACAGCUGGAGGUAGACAUGUAUUAAUUCUCUCUCAUACUGUCAUAAAGAAAUACAUGAGACUGGGUAAUUUAUAAAGGAAGGAGGUUUAAUUGACUCACAGUUCCACCUGGCUGGGGAGGCCUCAGGAAACUUACUAUCAUGGUGGAAGGCAAAGGGGAAGCAAGGACUUCCUUCACAUGGUGGCAGGAGAGAGAAGACAGAGCAAAGGGGAAAGAGUCCCUUUUAAAACCAUCAGACCUCAUGACAACUCAUUCAUUACCACAAGAAUAUCAUGGAGGAAACCACCCCCAUGAUCCAUCCAUCCUCCCACCAGUUCCCUCCCUCGACACCUGGGGAUUAUGGGGAUUACAACUCAAGAUGAGAUUUGGGUGGGGACACAGUCAGACCAUAUCAACGUCGAUUGAGGAUCCUUUAUAAAUGCAAUUUAGACUGGCCAAUGCCUAGGGCCAGUGUAACCUUUAAAAUGGAAACUCACCAGACUCACCAUAAGAUGGAUAAAUAAUCCACCCUAGAAGUGGCUAGCAGACGCAGAAUGAACUCCAAAUCAUACCAAGGGACUAGAAGUUUCCCAAGGAACCAUAAAAGAGACAAUGUCCUCAGCACAGAGGGUAAAAUAUAAUCAUUUGUUGUUAUCCUUAAAGAAUAGGAAGGAAACUGCAUGGAGACCAUAGGCAAUAAGACCAGGCCAACCAGAACGUGAACAAGGAAAAUAGCAGUGACAAGGCAAAGGAUGGGACACAGUAGAGUUGGUAUCAAUUGACUAUGACUAGAAUAUUGCUCCCUGAGGAUUAAGACUCUGUCUUGCUCAUCAGUGAAUUUCUGGGGCCCAGCAUAGUGCAGGGCACAGAAUACCUACACAAUAAUGUUUGUUGAAUGAACUAAAUAGGUGAGGAACAGACAAAGGUGACACCCAUUCCCCAGGUUUAAAGUAUGUGUGACUGGGAAAAUGGGAACUCAGGAGCAGAUGGUUUGGAGAGGAGAGAAGAUUAUGGGUGGACAGUUACAGAAGAAAGACUGGAGCUUGGACCGGAAAUCUUACCAGCAAUUUUUUUUUUUUUUUUUUUGAGAUGAAGUCUCUGUCACCAGGCUGGAGUACAGUGGCGUGAUCUCAGCUCACUGCAACCUCCGCCUCGCGGGUUCAAGCGAUUCUCCUGCCUCAGCCUCCUGAGUAGCUGGGACUACAGAUGCAUGCCACCAGGCCCAGAUAAUUUUUGUAUUUUUAGUAGAGAUGGGGUUUCACCAUGUUGGCCAGGAUGGUCUCGAUCUCUUGACCUCACGAUCUGCCUGCCUCAGCCUCCCAAAGUGCUGGGAUUACAGGCGUGAGCCACCGCGCCUGGCGCCUACUAGCAAUUCUGCAGUUGAAGUCAUCCUCCAAGAAAUGACUGCUGAAGCUAUCUGAGUAGACAGCAGAGGCAUGGGGGAGAAUGGACAGAAGAGAGCUGAAUUUGAGAGUAAGAAACUACAGAAGGCAGCAAGAAAUGAGAGACAGAAGAAUCAGGAAAGUAUAGCAUCAGCAAAGUCAGUGGACGAGCUUUAAGAGGACGGCCCUGUCAGUUAAUUCUAUUUGAAAAAUGAUAGUUGUGUCCCUGCUCCCCAAGCAAUCCAGAGACAGAAAAGCUUAGCAGACAAAGUGUGGACUUGAAAGUGAAACAGGCAGGCCUUGAAUCCAAACACGGCCCUAUGUCAUUUAAUAGUGAAAUCCUAAGCAAGUUACUGAAACUUCUAUUUCCCAAUUGGUUGGGUCUUCUGUUUUCCAACUGGUUAAAAGUGGGAAUUAAUAUGAUCUAUAUCCAGGUUGCUGCAAGGAUUAAGUGAAGGUAUAUGAAAAUCAACAAAAUAUAUGAAAAUGCCAAGCACAGGGAUUGGAACAUAGUGGGCACUUGGUUCUUAUUUAUUCCUCUUUCCUUCCGUGCUGUGUGCUAGGAUCUGGUGUUUGGGGAAAAUGAUGCUGAACAAGUAACACUUGAAAUGCAAUGAAGGGGAGGAGAUCUAAGAGUAUGCAUGGACCCCGAAUGAGGAGUGAGCGAACCAUUGCACGCUGGUCAACCCAACCUGACAAAGCUGUCCCAGGUGCUUCAAUUAGUAAGGAGAUGUGAGUGACCCUGCAAAGAGCAGUUUUAAUAGGAUGGGGACAGGGUGGGAUGAGAGAGCAGAGGCAGCGACUGUCUUUCUUGGGCAGCAAGAGGAAUAGCCAACGAAGAAGUAACUGCAAAGACAGAAAUGUGCGUGGGUUGGGAGCAAGCUGAAUGUGUAUAUGUGCAAAGGAACCAGGAGGGAAGGAAAGAUGGAGGAGGCAAGGGAGAAAAGGGCUAGUUGAUGAAGGGCAAGUCACCCACAGAGGCAGUGAAAUAAAAUCAAGGAAGCAUUCAAACCCAAGGCUGCUCCAGGUUUCAUGACUUGGGCCUGUUGUUGGUAUAACCUGAUGGGUGGUCUUUAAGAAAAAGAAGGCAAGUUUACAAAUACAAAAUUAGAUAUGACUGUGUAUUUUUUUAGAAUAAGGAAAUCAUUCACAACAUUUUUAAAUUACAUUUUUUAAAUGUUUAAGCUGAUAAAUAUCACAAAACCCAGAAAAAUGGCAUGUUUAUUAAUUAACUUCCUGACAUACCUCUAUAAUACUUUCAGGGAAAAAUGUAUUUGUUUUGCUGUGUACUCUUUUAUGGAUUCCUCUUACAUCAAAGGUUUUGUGGUAUCGUUUUUUAUAGAGGGUAUAGAAAAAUAACUCGGGCCAGGCACAGUGGCUUAUGCCUGUAAUCCAAGCACUUUGGGAGGCCAAGGUGGGUGGAUCACCUGAGGUCAGGAGUUCAAGACCAGCCUGGCCAACAUAGUGAAACCUUGUCUCUACUGAAAAUACAAAAACUAGCAGGGCAUGGUGGCGCUUGCCUGUAAUCCCAGCUACUCUGGAGGCUGAGGCAGAAGCAUCGCUUGAACCCAGGAAGCGGAGGUUGCAGUGAGCCGAUAUCGCACCAUUGCACUCUAGCCUGGGCAAUAAGAGUGAAACUCUGUCUCCAAAAAAAAAAAAGAAGAAGAAAGGAAGGAAGGAAGGAAGGAAGGAAGGAAGGAAGGAAGGAAGGAAGGAAGGAAGGAAGGAAGGAAAGAAAAAUAACUUUCUUCUAGCAUGCUUGGACAAAAUUUGUUUUCUAUUAUUGAUGGUUGAGAAGAAUUUCUUUCAGCUUCAUAACUUAAUAUUGGUAAUACAUACGUUUUUAGGAUUGUCAUAUUUGGGAAAACCACUAUUGAGGUCCUUUCAUGUAUGAGCUAUAAUAUUUCAGGGCAUGUCAAGUUUUCUUGCACAGUGACUCAUCCUAAAAAUUAUUUAAUUGACAAUAGUCAUUAGUUUGUUGAUGUUCUCAUUGUAGUUUAUUAUGAGUUUUAUAUUGUCUUACUGUCAGUAUUUCAUCUCAAACCAGCACAAAAUUUAAUAUUGUUCAUAUGAUUCAGUGAUAACUUGAAAAUCAUAAACAUGUGACCUUAUAGGUAAGCAUUCUAGCUGUGUGCAGGAUUGUUGUAAAUUUUUACCCUACAAACACAUGAAUUCUGAUGAAAUCAUAUUUCACAUCAAGAAAAAAAAUGUUUGAUGCAUUUAUAAUUGACUAUAUUCCUGGAAGGAAAGAAUUUUUAUUUUGACUUGGCAUUGUUAAGAACCAAUAACUUACAGUUUUACAUUUCUAAUGAAAAAAAAAAAUUCCUGGACUAGCUUAUGGUUCUGAAGUGAGUUGACUGAUAGCCCCCAAAAUGGUAUGUCCACAUCUUAACUCCAUCAACAUGUGAAUUUGAUCUCAUUUGGAAAAGGAGUCUCUGCAGAUGUAAUUAAGGAUCUUGGGAUCAUCCUGGAUUACCAGGUGAGCCCUAAAUCUAAUGACCAGCAUCUUUAGAAGAAACAGAAGAGAAGGCACGAACGUGGAGGAGACAGCUAUGUGAAGACGGAGGCAGAGAUUGGAGCUACACAGCCACGAACCAAUGAACUCCUAGAGCCACUAAAUGCUGAACGAGAAGAGGAAGGAUUCUUCUCCAGAGCCUUUGAGAGGAGUGCAGCCCUGUCGACACAUUGAUUUCAGACUCUUGGACUCCAGAACCAUGAGAGAUUGUAUUUCCGUUGUUUUAAGUCACUCAGUUUGUGGUAAUUUGUUACAAUGGCCCUAGGAAAGAAACUCAUACCAGUUCUAUACAUUCCAAACCUGGUCUCCCUUUUACUACCCAAAUAUUGGGUAAAUGGGGUUGCAAAAAGACACACUCAUGAUGUGAAAUGCCCUCCAGCCAUGCACCUCUCCAUGCCAGGUAGUGCAGAGAAGGCCCCACGAGCCCUUCCCAUUGUGGAUGGCCAGCAACAACUUAAAUACCCAUUAAAGUGACUGCAGGCCACAUAAAUACAUCUCACUAAACCCAGACUAAAAGCAUCCCACACUCAACUUCCGCUUAGCUGGAUCCCAGCAAAUCUCCAAGGCCCUCCAAGGCCACUCAGCACAAACAGAAAUGUGAAGGCAAGGAAAUCAGAGUGGAAAGAGACAGACAUCUUAGCGGUCAUGGUUAAAAUAUCUGACUUCUGGGCCAGGCGUGGUGGCUCAUGCCUGUACCCUUUGGGAGGCCAAGGCUGGUGGAUCACUUGAGGUCAGGAGUUUGAGACCAGCCUGGCCAACAUGG
rnacentral:lncRNA from 10 species